rnacentral:rRNA from 1 species
CAGCCGCCGCGGUAAUACGUAGGGUGCAAGCGUUAAUCGGAAUUACUGGGCGUAAAGCGUGCGCAGGCGGUUAUAUAAGACAGAUGUGAAAUCCCCGGGCUCAACCUGGGAACUGCAUUUGUGACUGUAUAGCUAGAGUACGGCAGAGGGGGAUGGAAUUCCGCGUGUAGCAGUGAAAUGCGUAGAUAUGCGGAGGAACACCGAUGGCGAAGGCAAUCCCCUGGGCCUGUACUGACGCUCAUGUACGAAAGCGUGGGGAGCAAACAGGAUUAGAUACCCCUGUAGUCCCUGUCUCUUAUAC